ensembl:lncRNA
AGGCUCUGAGCUGUCAGCAAGGACCCCAACGUGGGAUUUGAACUCACAAACCAUGAGAUCAUGACCUGAGCUGACAUCAGACACUUAACCAGGUGUCCCUAUAUUUUCCUUUUUUUUUUUUCAAACAUUUAUUUAUUUUUGAGACAGAGAGAGACAGAGCAUGAACAGGGGGAGGGGCAGAAAGAGGGACACACAGAAUCUGAAACAGGCUCUAGGCUCUGAGCUGUCAGCACAGAGCCCGACGCGGGGCUCAAACUCACGGACCACGAGAUCAUGACCUGAGCCGAAGUCGGCCGCUCAACCGACUGAGCCACCCAGGUGCCCCUAUUUUCCUUUUUUUUUUUUUUUUAAUAAAGUAGGCUCCACACCCAAAGUGGGGCUCAAACUCAAGAUCCCGAAAUCAUGAGUUGCUUGGCUCCACCGACUGAGCCAGCCAGGUGCCCCAAAGAUGUUUGACUUUAAAUGCAAAAACCUUAAGUGGAUUUGAACUUGUAAUGAAAAAUGGAUGCAUUUCGUGACCCUGCCAAAGGUAUGUGUGUCUCCUUUGUUUUCUCUCCGCCCUGCUGUUGCUGUCCUCAUCGCCACGCUUGAAACCACCUCAUCAGAGCCUCCCUGGUCUCGCCAGCUGCUGGUGAGUGUUUUCUGCGUCUUGACUCUGUCUUAAAUUUAUUGCUAUUUAUUUCUAUUUAUUUCACUUCAUUUCAUUUCAUUUCAUUUCAUUUCAUUUCAUUUCAUUUCAUUUCAUAUAGAGAGAGAAUCCCAAGCAGGCCCACGCUCAGUGUGGAGCCCCUCGGGGCUUGAUCCCAUGACCCUGGGAUCAUGACCUGAGCUGGUAUCAAGAGUUGGAUGCUCAACCGAAUGAGCCACCUAGGCGCUCCUGAAAAGUUAUUUCUAAGAGCAGUGAAUGAAGAAUCCUCGACACAAUAUCUGAAGUCAUGCCUAUAAAACUCUUUGGCAGACCAUGACACGGACCAUUUUGCCUGUGAAUACAUCCCACCACCUACUUAUGCUUGACUGGGGAAGCGGUAAGAAUCUCAAAGAAAAUUAACAAUAGAGUGACCUCUGUAUUUCUUUAAUUUCUUCACUGGAAGAAGUUACCAUCACUCCAUUCUCUCCUCAUCAAGGCACUAAGACUUUGUGAGUUCUAAUAAUCAGAAAAAUUGGGAUGAUCAUAAUUCCCAACCUAUAAUUCAAGAAGCACUUAAGAAAGGUCAUAAAAUCAAAUAAGGCUCAACUUAAAAACACACACACACACACACACACACAAAACCUUUGUUGCCGGAUCCUAAAAAUAGUUCCCAUGGUGUCCUUCACCUUCACAAUUAUUUUAGUCUUUCAUUCUAAAUCCGAAUGGCACAGAGCAGCAGAAUUUAUACAUUAAGUUCGUAAGACAGCAGACAGCUCAUUAAUUCUUAACAUUGGUGGGAUUUGACUGUUCACUGUCAUGUGCUCCAUUCUGAAAUAUAUCUGGUCUGCUCUCCUGAGAUGAUUAAGAUGUCUUAUUGAUAACCUCAGGGCUAUUAAAAACACAGUGCCCUUCUUGUGCCAGACAAGGUUAAAGCCGCCCCCCGCCCCCAUCCAUGGGAGGGUGUGGGCAACAUCUAUACUAAUCAUCUCAAAUUCAUUCAUUCACAAGUUCAUUUAUUCAGGUAUGUGAGACUUUC